rfam:Nelumbo nucifera unplaced genomic scaffold scaffold00517, whole genome shotgun sequence
AGACCAUGGUGAGGAUACUUCCUAAGUAUUUCCUUAAAUCUCUCCCAUGACUCAUAUAAGGUUUCAUUAUCAAAUUGAGAAAAAGUUGUUAUGUCAUUCCUUAAUUU